GGCAGUGUGGCCGAUUGGUCUAAGGCACUGGUUUUAGGCACCAGUCCGAAAGGGUGUGGGUUCGAAUCCCACCACUGUCA
rnacentral:tRNA from 1 species